rnacentral:rRNA from 1 species
GCGAAGAACCUUACCUACUCUUGACAUCCAGAGAACUUAGCAGAGAUGCUUUGGUGCCUUCGGGAACUCUGAGACAGGUGCUGCAUGGCUGUCGUCAGCUCGUGUUGUGAAAUGUUGGGUUAAGUCCCGCAACGAGCGCAACCCUUAUCCUUGUUUGCCAGCGAGUAAUGUCGGGAACUCCAGGGAGACUGCCGGUGAUAAACCGGAGGAAGGUGGGGACGACGUCAAGUCAUCAUGGCCCUUACGAGUAGGGCUACACACGUGCUACAAUGGCGCAUACAGAGGGCGGCCAACUUGCGAAAGUGAGCGAAUCCCAAAAAGUGCRAWMGKRGUCCGGAUUGGAGUCUGCAACUCGACUCCAUGAAGUCG